GGGAGUUGGCCAUGCCCGAAGUCGUUAUNCCUAACCCCUUGUGGGAAGGAGAUGCCGAAGGUGGGGCUGAUGACUGGGGUGAAGUCGUAACAAGGUAGCCGUACCGGAAGGUGUGGCUGGAUCACCUCCUUUUCAGGGAGACCUAACCCAACUGAUGACCGAAAGUAAUAAAUAGGUCAAUCGUUGAGGUCAUACCCAGGUCGAACGAGAUUGGUCAUAAGGCUUUCAAACUAUUCUCAGGUUAGGGAAAUGGGCUAUUAGCUCAGGUGGUUAGAGCGCACCCCUGAUAAGGGUGAGGUCCCUGGUUCAAGUCCAGGAUGGCCCACCUGAAAGGAAAAACCAACUGGGUAACCAGUAAGGGAAAUCCGAGCAGUGGGGGUAUAGCUCAGUUGGUAGAGCGCUGUCCUUGCACGGCAGAUGUCAGCGGUUCGAGUCCGCUUACCUCCACCAAAAAAUCUGAAACCAGCCAAAAAAAAGCAUUAUUAAUAGUAUUGUCAACCCUAAGAAGGGAUGAUAGACUAGCAAGAGUGAGCAAAAUGAGUCAGCACCUCUAGUGGUAAGUAUUAAACCUAAGAGUAUGCUGGCAACAUCAGCCAGUCAGAACCUAGAAAACUGCAUAGCAAGAGAGAAAGAACAGGAAAGUAAUAGCAGGUAGAUACCACCAAUUU
rnacentral:misc_RNA from 1 species